rnacentral:lncRNA from 1 species
CCAGUACUUGCAGGUAUUCAUUACCAACUUCCACUACUAUAUGCAUCAACUAUGUAAUCUCAUCACAUAUGCUUUGUUAAUUGCAACUACAGAGAAAUUGAUGAACAAACAUCAAAAUUAGUUUGCCAAUUACAAACCAUAUAGUAUGUCCUCUGCUUAAAAGGUAAUAACACAUGUACAUGAUCUACAAUUCUUUGUUGGCAUACUAUCAGUAGGAGAACAAGAAUAUUUCCAGGAAACUGAUUGAUCCAGACAACAUCCUUCAAAACAAUGUGGUACCUGACAUGUGUACAUUAAAAUUAUCGUCAGCAACUCAGAAUUUCCGGACAAGUAAAAUAAGGUGCUUACAAGAUGUCCUCACUAUCAUGUACUGCUUACAUACUUUGUGAUAACCCCGACGAGGAAUAAAAUUCUAAGAAAGUUAAAUAUGAUUGGAUUUCGACUAUCAAUAUGAUACUAGCCCAUCCAAGUGCACGGGUCAACUAUCAAAAUACUUGAUACUCUUUGCAUGUUGUUGUUCUUGGACAAAAUGCUUACAUUUUUCCCUCAUAUUUUUCAGGAUUAACUACCUGCAGUCAGCAUGCGUCGAACUCGCAAUGGACUUGACAAAAACAACAAUAGGUAUUCGUUACCACAAUAUAAAAACAAUUUUAUACCCAUUAAUUUACCUAGAUUAUUAAAAUGGCACCAAAAUCUAAUGCAGCAAUGAAAGACCUGACAAAGCAACCUCCAAACUUGCCACUCUACAAUCUAAUGAUAAUCAACCAGACAUCAUUAGAGCAGCAAUGAAGGAUGCUGCACGGAAAAGGAAAGAAAUACUUCAGCAGAAAAGGAAUCAGGUGCUUAUAAGAUGUCCUCACUAGCAUGUACUUAAUUUUUUUUGUGAUGUUCCCAAUGAGGAAUAGAUUUUAAUUUCUACAGUCAAGGUUAAAUAUUCAGUGAGAAAUAUCACAUGGGGUACAUGCCAGAUCUUUGGCUCCAGAAAGGAAAUACUGCUAACUUCCAUAUACUUAAUUCUAUCUGCAUGUUGUUGCUCUCAAACAAAGCGUUACAAUUUUUUCCCUCAUUUCAGGAUUCACUAGCUGCACUCAACUUGCGUCGAAGUAACGGUGGACCAAAUCAAAACAACAGAAGGUAUUCAUUACCCCAAUACCAAAAAAUAAUUAUAUAGACAUUAAUUUACCUGGAUUAUUCAAAUGAUACCAAAAUAUAAUGCAGCAAUAUAUUGGGUGAUCAAACAAUACAAAUACCUGAGCAAGGAACCUCGCAGCUUGCGACAGUAGAAUCUAAUGAUAGUCAAUCAGAUAUUAUCAGAGCAGCAACGAAGGAAGCUAGACGAAAAAGGAAAGAGAUACUCCAGCUGAAAAGGGAAAGGAAACGAAUAAGGACGGAAAAGGACAAUAAUGGCUGUGAAGUAUCAAAUAUAGCAAAGGAUGUCACUCAAGUUUCAAAUUUUGGAAAACCAAAUUGCGUUUGUGAAUUUUGCAAUGUCAUUAUGUGGCAUGGAGAGAGAAGCACAAACACACGUAACAUCACAGUUCCAAAAUUUGGUCUCUGCUGCAAGGAAGGGAAAAUUAAAUUACCACCACUGAAGCAAGCUCCGUUGUAUCUCCGACAGCUACUACGUUACAAUGAAAGAGGAGAGUCAUCCAAUUUUCGCCAGAACAUCAGGUUGUACAACUCCAUGUUCGCGUUCACUUCAAUGGGAGGAAAGGUUGACUAUGAAAUUAAUAAGCAGACACCUGGACCAUAUGUUUUCCGUUUGAAUGGCCAAAACUACCAUCAGAUUGGCACUUUACUUCCUAAAGAUGACGUGAUGAAACCAAAAUUUGCCCAAUUGUACAUACAUGACACAGAAAAUGAAGUGCGUAACAGGAUUACUGCAUCAACUUCAAUGGAGAGUAAGACAAAGCCAGAUGAAAACAUUGUCAAAGGUCUACUAGAGAUGCUAGAUGAGCACAAUGUUUUAGUCAAAUCGUUUCGUAUGGCAAGGGACAGGUUCGAAAACCGAGAAAUUAAAGAUGUAAGACUAAGAUUGAUCAACAAAAGGUCAAAAGAUGGACGGCAAUACAACCUCCCAUCUGCCUCAGAAGUUGCAGCACUAAUUAUCGGGGAACAAGAUGGAGAAAAUAAUGAAUUUGAUAUAAUAAUUGAGACCAAAGACAGAAUGUUACAGAGGAUUUCAGAGUUGCACCCAAGCUAUAUGUCAAUGCAAUACCCCUUGCUUUUUCCAUAUGGAGAAGAUGGGUUCAGACCAGAAAUAGAGUAUCAAAAAAAGAGAGGCGACAAGUGUAAGAGAAAGUAUGUAACAAUACUGGAGUUUUAUGCAUAUCGCAUCCAACAACGUCUUAACCAAGCAACAACCUUGCAAAUGAGUGGACGUUUGUUCCUACAGUUCUUAGUUGAUGCAGCAACGUGCAUUGAACAAUGGAGACUAAAUUGGUACAGGACAAACCAAGGUAAGCUGAGGACAGAACUAUACAAAGGACUGCAUGAUGCAAUAGAAAAUGGAGAUACACGAACUGAACAAGUUGGCCAAAGAAUCAUACUACCCUCAACAUAUAAUGGUAGCCCUAGAAAUAAGCAGCAAAACUACCAAGAUGCCAUGGCGAUUUGUCGUUGGGCUGGCUAUCCUGAUCUCUUCAUCACUUUUACAUGCAAUCCGAAAUGGCCGGAAAUACAGGAUAUGUUGGAUCUGAUUCCAGGCCAGAAACCUGAAGAUCGUCCAGACAUUGUUGCCAGAGUAUUCAUGUUAAAACUGAAGGAACUUAUGUAUGACAUAAAGAACGAGAAGUGUUUUGGACAAACAAUUGCGAGUAAGUUUACCAACCAACUACAGAUUUACUAUUGCCUAGAUGAUUGUCCAAAAUCAUUUCUUCUAAAAUUUCUUUACUUGCAUGCAGUUGUCUACACGAUAGAGUUCCAAAAAAGAGGCCUCCCUCAUGCACAUAUACUGGUGUUUCUACAUCCAGAUGAUAAAGAUCCCAGUCCUUCCCAGAUCGACAAAAUCAUAUCAGCCGAAAUUCCUGACAAGAAUAGUGAUCCAGAUGGGUAUGAAGCAGUGCAAAAUUACAUGAUACAUGGUCCCUGCGGUCAAGCACACCCAAAAUCACCAUGCAUAGUCGAUAAAAGUUGUGCCAAACAUUUCCCCAAGAGGUUUUGCACUGAAACUACAAUAGAUGAAGAUAACUAUCCAGUAUAUAGAAGACGAGAUGAUGGCAAUACUGUGGACAAAAACGGAGUGAAGCUAGACAAUAAAUUUGUUGUGCCAUACAAUAGAAACAUACUGGUCAAGUAUCAAGCCCACAUAAAUGUUGAAUGGUGCAACAGAUCAAGGUCUAUAAAGUAUUUAUUCAAAUACAUCCACAAAGGAGAAGAUCGAACAACUGUAUUAAUAGAAACAGAAGAGCAACAAAGAGAAACAAGAGGUGGCAAAUUAACAAACAGGGACGACGAAAUCAAGAGAUACCUUGAUGCUUGGUACAUUUCUGGAUGUGAAGCCGCAUGGCGCAUAUUUCAGUUUCCUCUUCAGUAUAGAGAGCCUGCGGUUGAAAGGUUACAAUUUCACCUAGAAAAUGAACAUGUUGUGGUAUUCCCAGACUCGAUGGAUUUAGAUAAAAUCAUAUAUCGGCCUAACAUAGAAAAGACUAUGUUCACAGAAUGGAUGACAGCCAACCAAUUGCAUGAGGAAGCUCGCAGUUUGACGUAUGCACAGUUUCCAACCAAAUGGACUUGGCAUGCAAAAGAGAAAGAAUGGAGGAAAAGACGUGGUGGUAAAAAAACCAUAGGCAGGAUUUACUAUGCACAACCAACAAGCGGUGAAAAAUACUACUUGAGAAUGCUUCUAAAUACCGUGAAAGGAUGCAGAUCCUAUGAAGAAACCCGAACAGUUGAUGGGGCUGUAUAUCCAACAUACAAAUCUGCAUGUUAUGCUCUUGGGCUACUUAAUGACGACAAGGAGUGGGAUGACUGCAUCAAGGAAGCAUCCCAUUGGGCCUCUGCUCCUCAAAUGCGCCAACUUUUCUGCACAAUACUUUUAUUUUGCGAGGUGACUGAUCCUGCAAAGUUGUGGCAAACAAACUGGGAGUUACUAUCUGAGGACAUCCAACGUCGGCAAAGAAGAAUACUCAAUUUUCAGGCCCUAGAACUCAACUCAUUGCAAAUAAAGAGCCUCCUCUUGGCAGAGAUCGAACACCUAUUGGCUAAAGGUGGUAAGUCCCUCAAAGAUUUUCCAGGAAUGCCACUACCAGAUAGUUCGAUUCUUCAAGAUAUAAAUAAUAGAUUAGUAAAUGAGGAACUAAACUACGAUAAAGAUUCUUUAAGAAUAGAGCACACAGAGUUACUACAAAAGCUAAAUCAAGAUCAGAGGAUGGCUUUUGAUGUUAUAAUAGAAUCAGUUAGCAGCAGUCGUGGGAAACUGAUUUUCGUUGAUCGACAUGGUGGAACUGAAAAGACAUUUCUGUGGAAAGCAGUCAUGACAAAAUUAAGAUCCGAAGGAAAAAUAGUUCUAGCAGUAGCUUCAAGUGGUAUAGCAGCACUUCUUUUACAGGGUGGAAGAACAGCUCAUUCAAGAUUUCACAUUCCGCUCAAAAUCACAAACUAGUCGACAUGCAACAUCAAGCAAGGAACAUUUCUCGCGGAACUAAUAAAGAAAACUUCACUGAUAAUAUGGGAUGAAGCACCUAUGACACACAAGCACUGUUUUGAGGCACUAGACAAGAGUUUGAGAGACAUACUUCGAUUCACAAAUGAGGAUGCCGAGCAUAGACCGUUUGGAGGAAUGACAGUAGUCUUGGGAGGUGACUUCAGACAAAUCCUACCAGUUAUACCAAAGGGGAAAAGGGAACAUAUCAUUUCGGCAUCUAUAAAGAGAUCCUACCUAUGGAAGAACUUUGAGGAGUACCGACUCACAGAAAAUAUGCGUCUGAAUUCAUCCGAAGGUAGUCCAGAAGAGAAAGCAAAGACAGCUGAAUUUGCAAACUGGAUACUAAACAUCGGCGUUGGCACAACAGCAACAAUAGAUGAUGAAGACUGGGUUAGCAUCCUAGAAGACCUUAUUUUAAAUAAAGGAGAUGACCCAAAAGCAUCUAUAGUUAAUAACACAUGCCCUGAAUUACACAACAAGUACACUGAUAGAACAUACCUAGAGGAAAGAGCGAUCCUGUGCCCAAGGAACGAGACUGUUGACCAGAUUAACACCUACAUCAUGAGUCAAAUUCCUGGAGAAGAGGUAACCUAUCUCAGUUCAGAUACAACAUGCAAGGCAAUGUCUACGGUGGAAGACGAAGAUAUGUUGUACCCAACUGAAUUUCUAAAUAGUCUAACAUUUUCUGGAAUACCAGAUCAUGAACUGAGGCUGAAAAUAGGAUUACCAGUAAUGCUUAUGAGGAACAUCAAUCAAAGUGCAGGACUUUGCAAUGGGACAAGACUAACAAUAACACAGCUAGGAAAGCGUUUCAUCGAAGGCCAGGUCAUAACAGGUACUAACAUUGGUGACAAAGUUUACAUCCCACGAAUUAUUAUGUCACCAAGUGAUUCAAAAUGGCCUUUCAUUCUGAAAAGGAGACAAUACCCAAUAUCAGUGUGCUUUGCUAUGACAAUAAACAAAAGUCAGGGGCAAUCUCUCAAAAAGGUUGGACUCUACUUAGAAAGGCAAGUGUUCACACAUGGCCAACUCUAUGUUGCAAUGUCAAGGGUUACCAGCAGAAAUGGAUUGCGGAUACUUAUAUCAGAUGAAGAGCGUCCAUCCGACAAGGUUGCAAAAAACAUUGUUUACAAGG